rnacentral:tRNA from 1 species
GUCGGAGUGGCGGAACUAGGUAGACGCGCUAGGUUGAGGGCCUAGUGGGCGAUAAGCCCGUGGGGGUUCAAAUCCCCCCUCCGACA